rnacentral:rRNA from 1 species
UACGUAGGUGGCGAGCGUUGUCCGGAUUUAUUGGGCGUAAAGCGCGCGCAGGCGGUGCGCUAAGUCUGCGGUGAAAUCUCCCUGGCUCAACCGGGAGGGGGCCGUGGAGACUGGCGCACUGGAGGGACCUAGAGGCCGGUGGAAUUCCCGGUGUAGUGGUGAAAUGCGUAGAGAUCAUGAGGAAGACCAGUGGCGAAGGCGGGUCUCUGGACAGUUCCUGACACUGAGGCACGAAGGCCAGGGGAGCAAACGGG